AUUGAACGCUGGCGGCAUGCCUUACACAUGCAAGUCGAACGGCAGCGCGGGAGCAAUCCUGGCGGCGAGUGGCGAACGGGUGAGUAAUACAUCGGAACGUGCCCAAUCGUGGGGGACAACGCAGCGAAAGCUGUGCUAAUACCGCAUCAGAUCUACGGAUGAAAGCAGGGGAUGGCAAGACCUUGCGCGAAGGGAGCGGCCGAUGGCAGAUUAGGUAGUUGGUGGGGUAAAGGCUCACCAAGCCAACGAUCUGUAGCUGGUCUGAGAGGACGACCAGCCACACUGGGACUGAGACACGGCCCAGACUCCUACGGGAGGCAGCAGUGGGGAAUUUUGGACAAUGGGCGCAAGCCUGAUCCAGCCAUGCCGCGUGCAGGAUGAAGGCCUUCGGGUUGUAAACUGCUUUUGUACGGAACGAAAAGUCUCUUUCUAAUAAAGAGGGAUCAUGACGGUACCGUAAGAAUAAGCACCGGCUAACUACGUGCCAGCCGCCGCCGUAAGAC
rnacentral:rRNA from 1 species